UACGUAGGUCCCGAGCGUUGUCCGGAUUUAUUGGGCGUAAAGCGAGCGCAGGCGGUUCUUUAAGUCUGAAGUUAAAGGCAGUGGCUUAACCAUUGUACGCUUUGGAAACUGGAGGACUUGAGUGCAGAAGGGGAGAGUGGAAUUCCAUGUGUAGCGGUGAAAUGCGUAGAUAUAUGGAGGAACACCGGUGGCGAAAGCGGCUCUCUGGACUGUAACUGACACUGAGGUGCGAGAGCGUGGGGAGCAAACAGG
rnacentral:rRNA from 1 species